GCCUGUGGCCAUGCCACCCUGAAUGUGCCCUAUCUCUUCUGAUCUGGGAAGCUAAGCAGGGUUGGGCCUGGUUAGUACUUGAAUGGGAGACCACCUAGGAAGACCAGGUGCUGUGGGUG
rnacentral:rRNA from 1 species